rnacentral:lncRNA from 1 species
AGAUUUCUAAUGAGCCCUGGCCCGGUCUGCAGCUCACUCUGCACCUGGCUUAACCCCUUCCUGCCUGCAGGUCCUCAGAGUCCACCUUCAGUGGAAAAUCACCCUGUCUAACUGCUGUAGAUAACCCUGCACGCCAUCCAUCAAUUUGGGCCGAAUCAUGUCGGGCCUGAGUGAGCUGUCGUGGAGCAUCGCCGCCCUUCGCUGGAAAGCUGUUUGCUGAUCCUAAAGGCCAGAAGGAUGCAUAUGCUCCAUUCGGUCAGCAAUGUGAUCAGAAUCCAUGGAAAGAGCACCAAGAAGCAGUGGGAAAGUAUGUUGGGUCAGAACUUGACCUACAUGGGAACAGGAACGGAGCCCGAGGGACAUGGUCGAGGUCAUGGGAAUGGAGGGAAACAAACAGAAGACCCUGGGUGUACAGCCCUGUUCCUUGCUAACAGACAUGGGAGGUAGAGAUAAGAGGAGGCGAGUGGAGCUAACCAGGAGAGAGAGAACCGCGGAGAACCUGUAAGAUCCUGCUCCUGUGGGAUGUUCACCCCUUCACAGCCUAACAGAGCUCCUCACGCUCAGACACCCCACCCCCACCCCCACCCCCCCAGCCAGGACACAUAAGAGCCAGAUGGAAAAGCCACUAACUAAAUUAAAACACACUAAUUGGGCAUUGAAUUUCUGCUGGAAAUGCCCCCUCCCAGCGUCACUGGUGAGGUACUGUGUGGGUGUCGGAUGUACGACUAAGAGGAAAUUCUUCCUUUCUGAACAAAUAAAUCAUUUGGAAC